AGUCACUUAAAAACUGUCUUGAAAAGCUUUUGUGUUUUAACAACCCAGUGCGCCUGCGCACUUUUAUCCUCUAGAUGGCGCCAUUGCGCCUCAAAAAAAGCAUCACGCCAACUCUGACAAAAAAAAAAUAUAUAUUGUCAAAAGUGUAGUCUAUUGUAAUUCAUUUAGGAACAAAAAGUUGUAUUUAUAUAUAGCUAACACCUUAUAUGUGACUGCUUGAUUUUUAUGCCGAAUACUGAAAAUACACAAAAAGACACAAGUCUGAAUAGUGACCAAAAUAUUAAAAUAACUACGAGGCUAUUAGGUAACUUUGCAAAUAAUCUCUGCCUGAAAUGUGUUUUUCUCUCUCACUCCUCUUUCCCUGGCUUUACGCAAAUAACACUUCGCAGCUUGCAGCGCGCGCGCUCUCUCGCGCGCUCGGCGCAAACAACAACACUUGUUCGUGCGCGCGGCAGCCUGCUUGAUAUGCACGCUCACAGCCGCAUGCUAGGCCAUCGCUUUCUGCCAGCCUUGUGAUUAAUUAACAUCCAGUUCGUAACCCCCCAAAUUAGCGCCGGAGCACACGGGCUAAUGAGCUCACUGUGAUCCCGUAGGUUACAAUAACUCCAUCAGACCCAGCUCAGAGACCGCGCGUCGGACUACAGUUGCGCGCAAAAGUUGUAACAAUUGUAGGCUGACUUACAAUUAAAUAGGUCAGACCAAGGCUGCUCGUCGCUCUUUUGCUCUCGUUAAAGUCGGUUACUGUAUAGUGUCAAAAAAAGCUAUCGAACAUUUCCGUCAUUGUUGGACGGAAGAAAAAAAAAUUCAAUGAGCACAUGUUGAUCUUUCGUCGACGAUAGCGGGGCAUGUUGUCACACUGCAUGAGGACCGGCGCAGGGCGGGCAGGAGGCUUUCGACGAAGACAUUGGCACCCAGACGGAGCCUCAGGACUUAACGACGAGCUCUUUGGCUGACUUUCGCUACAAGGAGCCGACAACACCAGCUUUCCUUCCAACGCAGUGUUUACACAGUUACAUAUGUCUGGACUCACAAGAGCGCUAGAGGGUUGUUGCCUGUCGUGGCCCGCGCUGCAUCGCGAAGACAAGAGGAGCACGGCGCAACAUGACAGAUGGGUUGGCCCACCUCUCUGAGGACAGUGUAAUGUGGACCUGUCUGUGCCUGACAGGACGGCAGAGAUCAAACGACAUUGUGGAAGGUGAAGAGCCUUUCCUUUCGCCAGCUUCGCUGUGUGACACGUGGCAGAAGAGGCCAGUUGCAGCCUGACUGACCAGGGAGUCAAACUGCUUACUAACCUGUUUAGUAUACAAAACGCUAGCACCGAAUGCUGGCAGAGUGGAAGUAAGUGCUAAAACCCUGUCUACACCAACAUCUGUCCACCAUCAUCAUCAUUUGAUCAUCUCAUAUUACUGUUAGGGGAGACUGGGGACAAAUGUAAUAUUUUAGUAAACAGAAAGUAGUAGUAAUCAGUGUGCUAUAUUUCAGUAAGACACAUUUAUAAGUCCCAACAGUACUAAUUCUAUUAUAAUAGAAACAAGCAGGAAAACAACACAUUAUUAAAUUAAUUGAAUCUUAAAAGUAAUUAUAUUAAAGGGUGUAUCAGUAACACAACAAUGCAUCAAUGAUAUAUGCUAUAUUGUACUAUAAUACACAUUUAUAUGUACAUUGACAAGUUCUCACUGUGAUAUUAUGAUUAUAACAUUUGCAUUUAAAAAAUAUAAAUGUUAAAGGGCGAUUUUGUAAAAAAUGUGACACAAUAUUUGAUCAUUUACCGAAUUUAAUUACCUUUAUGGUCUUAAGUCUUUUAACUGUCAUGAAUCAUUUGAUUUAAAGCAAAAGUCUAAGUGGUACUUAGACUACUUUAUUAUUAUGCUAAAUGGGUUAAAUCCUUUUUAACUAAAAUAUAUUUUUCAGCUAUGAAGUCAAGGACAGUCUUUAACUAGCUACUUUAAUGAAAUAAUGUUCAUUUUAAAUUAUAAAGGUUCAUUCUUUGUGGUCAUACAAUUUUAAUUUCAUAACUAGUGUUACAAAACCCACACAGUUAUGAUAAAAUCCUGUAUGAUUUUAGUACCUGCAAGCAACAUUAGUAUGUGUAAUUAACUAGCAACCAAGAGAUUACAUAUUAUAUUUUAAAAUGUCUAUAUUUGAAAUUCAAGGCAUUAAAACUGAUUAAAUAAAGUGUGGGAAAACAUAAUGAACAUCCCAAAGAUUUUUUUGGAAAUUUCUCUUAAAAUGAUAUGUUCGGCUUGUUUUCCAGGCAGAGAGAGAGAGAGUUAAACUAGUCAUAUUUCUACCUUGUUUAUAUUAUUAAGUGUGUUUCAAUUGUCCCGUAACAAUUUGCGCAAAAUUACAGAAUGAAUAUUACGGUACACAAAAAAGUCGUUCUCAUUUUAUAACAUUAUUUUACGUUCACGCACAAUCACGCAAUAAAUCUAGCGGAAAGUAACUAGACGGAAAAGAAAACUUUAGACAUUUCUGUUGACGUGAACUUUGAUCAAGACAGAAGCCCGUUCCAGACAAACUUCAGCCUCCCACCGUCUGCCAGCAUCUGAUUAUAACCAGCACGGAUGCAUGUGACCCAAAGCUAUAGCGCAGCGCCACAACCCAAUUUCACCGCUUUCUGAGCACACAUCAAGAGCGAUUCAUCACUGUCGUACUUGCAGACAUCUCUCCCAAAAGCCCGACCCCUUUUGUGUUUUUAUCUGCCGUGAACCUGCAAAGUGAGCAGCGCCGAACAAUGUAAUGGGUGUCAACCGGUGGCAAUGCCUGAGUUCAGCCUCUGCUCAGCAUCAAUUAUUGUUCCAACACCGUGAUGCUUUCCAGAGUCAGCAGCGACUACCCCCAUCUUUGAUCAUCUCGCUACAUACGAUUAUCAAAGGUGUAUAAAUCAGGUCUGUGUUUCCAUAAGAUGCAAAGGAGAAAAAAAAACGAUCUGUAACCAUUUCACAAUGAUUCGAAAUAGAAAACAUAAUCAGUUCUAUCACACUAAAAUGUGCGCGGCUUCUACCAAUAAUGCGCCGCAUAUGAGAUAUCGCAG